UCGUACAACCGAGGUGCAAGGGCUGUCGCUGACCCUCAAAGGUUGUGCACGCCCAAGCGCUCUCACACAAUCCAUCUCACCCCUCUUGUGCAUCACCGCGUGGGCCCCCCUUUGCAGGAGGGCUUGCGUUCUCACAUAAAACUUGAUACAGUGUAGAAUGUUUAUUUUUGCGGUAACACGCAAUCAAUA
rnacentral:misc_RNA from 1 species